rnacentral:rRNA from 1 species
CCCUUAGAUGUUCUGGGCCGCACGCGCGCUACACUGACGAAUGCAACGAGCUUAUAACCUUGGCCGAAAGGUCUGGGUAAUCUCCAAAUUUCGUCGUGAUGGGGAUAGAUUAUUGCAAUUAUUAAUCUUCAACGAGGAAUGCCUAGUAAGCGCAAGUCAUCAGCUUGCAUUGAUUACGUCCCUGCCCUUUGUACACACCGCCCGUCGCACCUACCGAUUGAAUGGUCCGGUGAAAUCUCGGGACGGCGGCUUGGUCGCUUGCGUCCGACUGCUGAAACUUGAUUAAACCAUAUCAUUUAGAGGAAGGUGAANUCGUANCA